UUCACAAGAGAGAUUAAUAAUAAAAGGCAGGGCUGACGGUGGGACCAGAGCUGCUUUUCCUGGGACCCCCUCCUCCAGCCCACCGGUUCAGCCUCAUCUCUUGCCACACCCUCCCCGGUCCGGCUUCAGCCCAACUCAAUCCCAGCUGUCCUGCUCUCUCUUCUUCCUACGGGCUCCUCUCCCAUAGACGCCAGUCAAAGCCCACCUGCCCAAGCCACCUCCUCUGGGACAUCUCUCUCCAGUCCCGAUCACCUCCCGUCUGACUGACGCUCCCUCUGCCCCCACGUGCUCACACUUCUUUUUGCAGUUGUUGUGAGGAUUGUGUGUCCCUAUCUCCCUUCCCCAAACACCCCAGACCUCCCCGAAGGACAGACUUGCCCAGCUGGCCUCUCCCACGGUGUCCAGCCCAGGGUCUGGCACUUCGCAGUGGAAGGGGUGAGUUCACGAGGCGUCUACAAGCUUUCUCUCUUCUGAUCUAAUAAAAGGGUAUCUGUGGUAGAUUCUUUCUUUUCUGUAUUUUUUGACCUGGCAGGGGUGAAGAUGUGUGGUUAGGGUUGGGAGUAGACAUUGGGAUGCUCUCUAAACCCGUUGUGAAGCUGUUAAAUUGCAAGAAACCAUCUUCCUCUCCACCCUCCAUUCCCACCCUAUUCCCACAGGGUGAACAGGAAGCGCCCACUCAGAGCCCUUAUUCCAAAGGUGGAAAAACCUCUUCCCUUUGCUGCUUUUGGGGACUCAUCAGUCUCUGGAACAAUUAAACCUCUUUCAAUGCAGUUAUAUUCCCUCAUGUAAUAAGUACUGCAUUAUUUUUAGACUGUUUUACCCAAUUAAUUUUAUUAUCAGUUAAUUAUGUAUUACCACCUUAAGAAAAUGAAUAUUUGCCCAGUUGCUUAAGCUAAAUCAUUAAAUAUGUAUGAAUUCCUUUCUUUAAAUGUACACCUGUUAUCUUUUACAGAUGCAGAAGACGUGUUUGGAGCCAUCUGUGCCUCUGAAACAGACCCCCAUACAAAAGUGCUGUCUUGGCCCUACGAGACAGCUCAUGUGGGGCUGGGAGGCACCUGGGAAGUGAGGCCCACAAACAUGUCAGAGAUCUCGGCCUCAGCGUAAGUGGGAGGGCCACUGUCCUAAGCACCAGCUUGGCAGAAUCUGGGGUGAGGGGAGGUGGGUAGAGCCCAGAGCCAAAUGCAUGAAGGUGCAUGAAUACAGAGCAGCCCCUGGAGGGUGAUAGUUUAAGAAACAAACCUCGAGGCUGGGUGCAGUGGCUCACAUCUGUAGCCCACAGAUUUGGGGGCCAAGGUGGGAGGAUCAUUUGAGGCCAGAAGUUUGAGACCAAGCUGGGCAACAUAGUGAGACCCUGUCUCUGCAAAACAAAACAAAAGAAACAAAAUUUAGCGAGGCCUGAUGGUGCACACCUGUAGUCCAAAUUACUCAGGAGGCUGAGGUAGGAGGAUCCCUUGAGCCCAGGAGGUAGAGCCUGCAGUGAGCCAAGAUCAUGCCACUGUACACUGCACUCCAGCUUGGGCAACAGAGUGAGAUCCUAUCUCAAUAAAAAAAGAAAAGAAACAAAUCUUGAUUGAGGUGGGCAUGGUGGCUAACAUGUGUAACCCCAGCACUUUGGGAGGCCAAAGUGGGAGGAUCUCUUGAGCCCAGGAGUUCAAGACCAGCCUGGGCAAUAAUGUAGUGAGACCCCCAUCUCUAAUUAAAAAAAAUUAGUCAGGCAUAGUGGCACACAACUGUAGUGCCAGCCACUUGGAAGGCUGAGGUGGGAGGAUCUCCUGAGCUCAGGAGAUUGAGGCUGCAGUGACCUAUGAUUGUGCCACUGCACUCUGAACUCAGCAACAGAGCAAGACCCUGUCUCAAACAAAAUAAAACAAAAAAGAAACUCCUCCUGCUGCCUCUGGGUGAUUGGGCGCAAAGCUCCACAGAGGUCAGCACGUCCGGUCCCUAUGGGACCCAGACUCACUGUGUGUGACCUGGGGCCAGUCAGCAGACUUAAGCAGCCUCAGGCCCCUGGCCUGCCAAAAUAUUGAGAUUACAGGCAUAAGCCACAGUGCUCAGCUGAGAAUUUUCUUUUCUUUUCUUUCUUUUUAUUUUUGAGACAGGGUCUCUGUCUGUUGCCCAGGCUGGAGUGCAGUGGUGUGAUCACGGCUCACUGCAACUUCCACCUCCUGGGCUCAAGGCGUCUUCUCACCUCAGCCUCUCGAGUAGCUGGGGCCGCAGGUGUGUGCCACUAUGACCAACUAAUUUUUUAAUUUUUAUUUUAUUUUUAGUAGAGACAGGGUCUCCCUAUGUUGCCAGUAUGGUCUCAAAUUCCUGAGCUCAGGUGAUCCUCCCACACUGGCCUCCCAAAGUGUUGGGAUUACAGGUGUGAGCCACCCACUCAGGUGAGAAUUUUCUUAAUAACAAAUUAGAUGAGACAUCCCAAUUGUUUGUUGUAGUGAGAUUUGAUUAUAAUUCACUCAAUAAACACCUAAGCACUUUCUUGGUUGGGUACGGGGGAAACAGUGAUAAAUCAGAUUUAGUCUCUACCCCAAGGAUCUCCCACUCUGAUGGGGAGACAAGCAUGUGUGUAAGAAUAUAAAUUGAAUAUUCAAUUUAUAUUCUUAUAUUCAAUUUAUAUUAUCAUAAAUACACAGAGGGACUUGGGCCACAGUGUAUAUUUUUACAAGAUUCCUGGAAGCAUAGAUUAGGGAGUGACUGGUUCUGUAUAGGGAAAUCAAGGAAGGCUUCUGAGAGGAGAUGAUGACUGAACAAUUUACUUCAUUCAUCUGAAAAGACUGAGUACUGUGUAAGCGAAGGGGUGUCACUGUAUAUGGCAGCCCUGUUGAGUGGGCCUUAAAGGACUCUUGGUUGCAAGUGAGAGAUACCUAACUCAUUGUAGCUUAGGCAACCAAGGAAUUCAUUGGCUCCUGAAGUGUGGAAGUCUGAGGGGAAGCAGGCAUAGCUGGAUGCAGGGGCUCAAGCAGCCUUGUCAGUUCUCUCUCUCUCUCUCUCCCCCCGCCUCUCCCCACCCCCCCCAUCUCUUGCCUCUCUGCUUCGCUUUCUUCUAUGAGUUAGGAAAGAUGGUGGUGGGCAGACAGAUAGAGAACGUCCCAGCAAGACAGCUCUAUCCAGGGGAGUCCUCCUUUCACCCAGGGACUAAAGUAACAAUCCCAGAAAAGAAUUCUUAUUGGCUUCUUGAGUCACAUGCCUGCCUCUGAACCAAUCACGUGCCGAGGGGUGGGGCAGAGUGCUCCUCAGAGGGCCUGGGUUGGAGGAAGAAGCCACCAGGAUUAACAGCCUCAUGCUGUGGGAGGAGUGGUUCUCCCAAGGACGCUUGCAAACAAAAUCAUACAUCCACUACAAAGGGCGGGAAAGACCUCUCCAGGCGACUCGGAAGGAGGUCUGUAACCCAAACAUUGCCGAAAAUGCUACUCCCAGGGUCUCUGCCAUGCAGGAUGCCAUUAUGACCAGUGACCCCUAAGCUACUGGGCAACCCUGCCCAUGUCCAGCUGUGAGGACUGUUGACCUCUGAACUCAGCUGGGGAAGAGAAAAGAGGCACCCCCUUCCCACCUCUUCUCUAGGCUGUUAGAGCUCAAAGGGUGCUUGGAGUCCACCCAUUUGUUCCAUGGAGCUCUUUAAAAAUAACAGCAAGAGCUCAUGAACUAGAAUGCACAAAUUUUCUUUUGAAACCUCCUUUGCUCAGCCACAGACCAUGGGAAUUAAAUUUGUGUAGUGCAUUUAACAGACAAUGAACAUUGAGCGAGGUCACAAAUACAUGUUGGGAUUACAAGACAAGACACCGAACAGAGACCAGCCAUCAUCCUCAGCCUUGUUAUGAUAGCUGCCUCAUGUGCUGCCCGUGCCUGGAUUCCCGAGUCUGACAUCGCCCUCGUAGGUGCCGGACGGGCAGCCUCUCACGCCGUGACCCCUGCUCCUAGCACACCAUUUCUAAAAGGUGGAUCACCGCCGAGCAGUUAGAAUGAUAUGGAACUGCUUUGUCUUUUUCUUAUGCAUUUAAAAAUACUUUCAGGCCAGGCGUGGUUGCUCACGCCUAUAAUCCUAACAGUUUGGGAGGCCAAGGCAGAAGGAUCGCUUGGGCCAAGUAGUUCAAGACUGGGCAACAUGGUGAAACCCCAUCUCUACAAAUACAGAAAGAAUAAAAAAAAAUUAGCCAGGUAUAGUAGUGCUUGCCUAUAGCCCCAGCUACUUGGAAGGCUGAGGUGGAAGGAUUGCUUGAGCCCAGGGAGGUCAAGGCUGCAGUGAGCCAUGAUUGCACCACUGCACUCCAGCCUGGGUGACACAGUGAGACCCUGUCUCAAAAUAAAUAGGCCAGGCACGAGGGCUCUCACCUGUAAUCCCAGCACUUUGGGAGGCCAAGGUGGGAGAAUCAUUUGAGGUCAGGAAUUCAAGACCAGCCUGGUUAACACAGUGCAAUCCCAUCUCCACUAAAAAUACAAAAAAUUAGCCAGGUGUGGUGGCACAUGCCUGUAAUCCCAGUUACUUGGGAGGCUGAGGCAUGAGAAUCACUUGAACCUGAGAGGCAGAGGUUGCAGUGAGCUGAGAUCUCACCACUGCACUCCAUCCUGGGCGACAGAGCAAGACUCUGUCUCAAUCAAUCAGUCAAUCAAUCAAUAAAAAUACUUUCAAGAAGGUGGUCACUGGCAUCUUUUUGGCUUUUAGACCAGAGUGACAUCAUUUGAGAAAGACUGUUCUAGUCCAACCCUGCAGUUUUAUAGAUGGAGAAACUGAAGCCCAGAGACGGAAAGUGAUACUGAAAGUGAUUUCAACAGCUGGACUCAGAGUUGGUCUGAGACUCCUGGUCUGACACCUUUGAAUUCGGUCAGGGGCAGCCCUGGCUGUGCGUGCUCACACAUGGCAAUGCACGGGAGAUCUGCAGCCCGGACAGGAGCUGGAGCACGUGGGAAGGACAUGAGGCAAAUGCUCAAGGACUCGAGAACAGCAGGCCCCAGUGGUGGGAGGGGCACCCUUUGAGCACUGUUACAUGGGAAGGCCAUGGCACGGCGCCAGGCUCAUGGCAGGGACUUUAUUCUCUUCCAAACUCCAACCAUGAAUCCACCCAGGUGUAAACCUUCUACAGUAAGCCAAUUGUGCCUACUGAAGCUCUGUAGACAAGUGCUGCUCAAAAUGUCACCUGCAGACCUGUGCUGCUCUGCAAACGCUUGGUUAGAUGUCCAUGAAGGGGAAUAAGAAGCUCGCACUGGAAUGUACGUUACUGUCACUCAGCGGGCUAUUUAGUCCUGCUGACUUUUUCCACAGCAAGACUUUCUCAAUAAAGGAAGCAGGUCACUGAUUUACUCUCUGGGGCAAAAGCUGCUUAACUCAUGGUAACAAAGUUUGUGGCCCAGCUACUUUCAGGCUGCUUCUGGGGACACUAACCUGAGGUGUCCAAGCAUCUCUGAGUGGUACCCAGGGAAAAUUAUGAAGGCAUUAGGCAAAAGCUAGUAGUUUAAAAAAUCAUAAACGCUAUAAUAAUAAAAAAUGAGAGGUUACCUCAAUAUAAAAAGAGAUAAGUGGUUAAAUAAGUUAUAUAUGUCCUCUUAAUGUAGUUGACAGCACUUAUAAAAUAAGAGGUUGAGGACUUUAUAACGGGACGAAGAAAGGCUUAGGAUAUGACAGGAACUUACAACAGAAGUAUGAUAUAAAAUGGUGUGAGCAGCCCCCACGAACACGUAGAGAAGAUAUAUGUGCUCACACUCACCUACUCGGAAGGAAAUGCACAAAAAUACAAAUAGGGGAUUUGUUAGGGUGACGUAAUGAUUAAGUUUUCUUUUCUUUUCUUUUUUUUUAAUUUGAGACAGUGUCUCACUCUGUCGCCCAGGCUGGGGUGCAAUGGCGCCAUCUCAGCUCACUGCAACCUCUGCCUCCCAGGUUCAAGCGAUUCUCCUGCCUCAGCCACCUGAGUGGCUGAGACUACAGGCGCCCGCCACCACGCCCGGCUAAUUUUUUUCAUAUUUUUAGUAGAAACGGGGUUUCACCAUGUUGGCCAGGCUGGUCUUGAAUUCUUGACCUUAG
rnacentral:lncRNA from 10 species